rnacentral:rRNA from 1 species
GACGAACGCUGGCGGCGCGCUUAACACAUGCAAGUCGAGCGAAGCGGCGGACGGGUGAGUAACACGUGAGUAACCUGCCUUAGACAUUGGGAUAGCCUCGGGAAACCGGGAUUAAUACCAAAUGGUCUAAGAUGGACUCGCGUCCCAUUAGCUAGUUGGUGUGGUAACGGCCCACCAAGGCGACGAUGGGUAGCAGGCCUGAGAGGUUGAACGGCCACAUGUGAACUGGGAAACGGUCCAGACUCUACGGGAGGCAGCAGUGGGUAAUAUUGCACAAUGGAGGGAACUCUGAUGCAGCGACGCCGCGAGAACGAAGAAGGCUUUCGAGUCGUAAAGUUCUUUUAUAUGGGAAGCGGUACCAGAAGAAAAAGCCCCGGCUAACUACGUGCCAGCAGCCGCGGUAAUAC